AGAGGUGAAAGACUGGCAGAAACUAAAUAUUAGAAAGUGAGUGAAGGCAAUCUGCUGGAGAAGAGUGAAUGCAUAGAGAGGAUUUGGUCUUUGUGGGGAAAAGGACCCUCUGACACUCCUGCUGCAAGGGUACAAGAAUUCCAAUGCCUUGAACAAGGGGAGAACCAUGAACACCACAAAUGUUGGCUACAAAUUCACAGCAUGGUUUUGGAUGUAUUUAUUUCUUUGCUGGAGGAUUCUGUCUAUGGAUGACAUCAGCUUUACAAAUGAAAGGAACUACAGAGAACCUUUAAUUCAAUCUACUUAUUCUUCAGAUGAGCAGUAAGAAACUGAGGCCCACAAGAGGGGAAGGAGAAAGCCUGAAGGCACCCAGGAGUGUGAGCGGCAGAGCUGGGAAUAUGAACCCAAGACUUACUAUUCCAUAAAUUCUGGGCAACACUGCCUCUUCUAAGACGUGUCACUGAUCUAGUAACAGUUUCUGGGCAGUUGGAUAGUGCAAUGGAUCGAGUGCUGGGCCUGAAGUCAGAGAGAUCUCAGUUUAAUAUAGCCUGAGACACUGACUUAGCUGUAUGAUUCUGGGCAAAUCACAUCCCCAUGUUUGCUUGUUUCCUUACCUUUAAAAGGAGCUACAGAAGGAAAUGGCAAACUCCUCCAAUGUCUUUGCCUAGAAAUCUCCAAAUGGGGUCACAACCCCAAAGAUACAACAACUGAACAAACAAUUGACAGAGACGAUGAUUUAAGAGUUAAGUCUUGCAAGGAGGACACUACAUUACAGAUGCAUUGUGAAAUAUUAGAGAGCCCCAAAGGAACCAGAAAGGCUGCACAGCUGAAGACCAGAAGAUGACCACAGACAACAGCUCAGCAGAGAUUAGUCCCUCUGAAGAUGUUCUCAGAGGCAUCUAAUGGCAAAAAGAUCAUAAAAAAGGCACCUGUUCACUCGGUGAUAUCACCAUAGUAAUCAGUCAUGAAUUAUGCAGACAUGCAAGUGCUCUAGUUAUGUAUGUUCCUUAUACUUAUGUCCUUACACACAUAUUCUCUUAUAAGUAUUCCUGGACUAUGUUUCUUUUCCCAGAGGUUACAUAAUAAUCUAAGGCAGUGGGAGUUAGGAGAAGGGGAAUUGGUUUUUGUCUUUUAUUUUACUAUGCUAAUUAAAA
rnacentral:lncRNA from 1 species